AGGGGGCACCUGCCGCUGGAAGCCGCCGGCCCCGCAGCAACACCGGCGGUAACUGGAGUUUACACAGAUGGCACCUUCCAGCAAACCCAAAGUGGUCCCGCGGAUUAGGCUUCACAGAGUCCGCUGUAGCCUACGGUGGCUUCUGCUUCACACCCCAUUUCUGCCUCCAGGGCGUGGGGCCGUUCCAGAAAGAGGGAACAAGAGGCCCCAAGGAUUCUCGUUUUGUCAAAAAAAAAAAAAAGCCAGAAACAAAAAUGUCCUGCCACAGCACGCCCACUGAGCUGAGAGUCCGUCACAGAGAGAGAGAGGCGCAGAGACAUAGGCAGAGGGAGAAGCAGGCUCCAUGCACCGGGAGCCCGACGUGGGAUUCGAUCCCGGGUCUACCAGGAUCACGCCCUGGGCCAAAGGCAGGCGCCAAACCGCUGCGCCACCCAGGGAUCCCAUGGGAUCUAAAAUGAGGUAACAAAUGACCA